rnacentral:rRNA from 1 species
UUAGAGUUUGAUCCUGGCUCAGGAUGAACGCUAGCGGCAGGCUUAACACAUGCAAGUCGAGGGGCAGCGGGGAGUAGCAAUACUCUGCCGGCGACCGGCAAAAGGGUGCGUAACGCGUGAGCAACUUGCCCGUAUCUGGGGGAUAACCGAUGGAAACGUCGCCUAAUACCCCGUAACAAGGAGACCCGCAUGGUUUUCCUUUGAUAGCUCCGGCGGAUACGGAUGGGCUCGCGUGACAUUAGCUAGAUGGUGGGGUAACGGCCCACCAUGGCGACGAUGUCUAGGGGUUCUGAGAGGAAGAUCCCCCACACUGGAACUGAGACACGGUCCAGACUCCUACGGGAGGCAGCAGUGAGGAAUAUUGGACAAUGGAGGCAACUCUGAUCCAGCCAUGCCGCGUGAAGGACUAAGGCCCUAUGGGUCGUAAACUUCUUUUGACGCAGGGCAAUAAGGGCUACGUGUAGUCCGAUGAGAGUAUGCGUCGAAUAAGCAUCGGCUAACUCCGUGCCAGCAGCCGCGGUAAUACGGAGGAUGCAAGCGUUAUCCGGAUUUAUUGGGUUUAAAGGGUGCGUAGGCGGAUGAUUAAGUCAGUGGUGAAAGGUCCCGGCUCAACCGGGGAGCUGCCAUUGAUACUGGUUGUCUUGAAUGCGGAUGCCGUGGGAGGAAUGUGUGGUGUAGCGGUGAAAUGCAUAGAUAUCACACAGAACACCGAUUGCGAAGGCAUCUCACGAAUCCGUUAUUGACGCUGAGGCACGAAAGCGUGGGGAUCAAACAGGAUUAGAUACCCUGGUAGUCCACGCAGUAAACGAUGAUGGCUAACCGCCGGCGAUACACAGUCGGUGGCCAAGCGAAAGCGAUAAGCCAUCCACCUGGGGAGUACGACCGCAAGGUUGAAACUCAAAGGAAUUGACGGGGGCCCGCACAAGCGGAGGAACAUGUGGUUUAAUUCGAUGAUACGCGAGGAACCUUACCCGGGCUCGAACGGCAGAUGAAUUUAUCAGAGAUGGUAAAGUCUUCGGACAUCUGUCGAGGUGCUGCAUGGUUGUCGUCAGCUCGUGCCGUGAGGUGUCGGCUCAAGUGCCAUAACGAGCGCAACCCUUGUCGUCAGUUACCAGCAUUCAGGAUGGGGACUCUGGCGAGACUGCCACCGCAAGGUGUGAGGAAGGGGGGGAUGACGUCAAAUCAGCACGGCCCUUACGUCCGGGGCGACACACGUGUUACAAUGGUGGGUACAGAGGGGUGCUACCUGGUGACAGGAUGCUGAUCUCGAAAGCCCAUCUCAGUUCGGACUGGAGUCUGCAACCCGACUCCACGAAGCUGGAUUCGCUAGUAAUCGCGCAUCAGCCAUGGCGCGGUGAAUACGUUCCCGGGCCUUGCACUCACCGCCGGUCAAG